UUUUUUUCUGUUUUUCUGUAUUAAUGUUAUAGAAAUGUUAGUUAUAUAUAGAAAUGUGUUAGAAAUGUUAGAAAUGUUAGUUAUAUAGAAAUGCUAGUUUUUUCUAUAUUAAUGUUAUAGAAAUGUUAGUUAUAUAGAAAUGUUAGAAAUGUUAAAGAAAAAUUAGUUAUACAAUUUUAGUUAUAGAAAUGUUAGAAAUCACAAUCCAAUCAUUUAAAAAAUGUUACUUUUGCGGCAUAUAGUAUUUGUUGUCGGCGAUGCCCCGCCGGCAUCCUCGCCGUCGACCCGUUCGCGACGACGUCCUGCUUCAGAGGACCCAUGUCCGAGACUGGGCUCCGCCGGGCUGGUACUGGGAGGUGCUACCUUCAGGGGCGCAACGCUUGGUGAGGAACCCGGCCCCAGGUCCCAUCGUCGACCAUGAUCUCCUUUGGUGGUGUUCGCGUGGGCCACUUUCGGUGCGGAGGGAGCCGGCCCCGCCGGAGGUGGUACGUCGCCGUUUCAGGGAGGAGGACGAGCACGCCCAUCGCUACAUGGCUGUUAUGGAUGUCAGGUUCUCCAAUACCUGGCAGGUUCUUUUGGGAGAUCACCCGAGCUAUGAUCCAGUGAUGGUUCCUUCUCUUUGGGUGUCCACUGCCCGCACCUCAGGAACUGCGAGUGGCCUAGAUUACUCUAUAGUAUUCGAUCUUUAUUAGCUUGCUAGCUAGCUAGCUAGUGAUGUAUUCGAUAUUAUAUCUAUUCUUCGAGACGAUGUAUUUGAGAUUAUAUCUAUUAUUCGAGACGAUGUAUUCGAGAUUAUAUCUAUUAUUCAAGACGACGUAUUCGAGAUUAUAUUCGAUGAUGCUUAUUAUGUACUAUGAUUGAUUCAGUUUUUCCUUAUUAAUUGAUUGCAUCCAUGCAUUGUAAUUUGAAUAUAUUUCUUUUGGAUUAGUUAAAUAAAACAUGUGGUGGACAAUACCGGCAGAGAGGGAGAAGAGGCCCUAUUCAAUAUCAUACGCAAUCCUCGCGGGCCAGAUGAUGAUCAGAAUGAAGAAGAUUAUGAUGGCUCCGAAUAUCUAAACAACACCGGGGAGGGUGAUAUGAUAUUCGAUCGCGACGACCGAAUUGAUGAAGACAUGAACUAUGAACAUGACAAAGAAAAUGUUGAUCUUGAAACAACAAAGACUGGCGAGGUAUAUAUAUUUAUAUAAGCAGGCAUUUGGUGAUCAUCACAUGUUUUAAAUGACUUGAAGAUAUAUUAACGAAUCGAUCUUUCUUCUUUCAGCCAUCCGGAUCGAGCAAAUCUUCAGGCAACAGGAAACGAGGCCCGAACAAAAAGUUGAAGGAGGGCGUAAAGUACAAUAUCGAGGCCAUCAAACCUAAUAGCGAACCAUUAGCACCUAAGAAGAUUGCGGACAAGUUCAUUCGUCAAUGCGGAGUUCUUGUGAAGGACCAACUCCCGAUCUCCCUUCAAGAAUGGAGAGAGCCAGCAAAGCCACGUCCAGGAGUUACUUUUGUCGACGACAGACAAAAACUUCUGCUUUGGGAAACGCUCAUGGAACAUUUUACCCUACCAGAUCAUUUCACAGAUGCAGAUGUGGAGAAAGUCAAGGACGCUGCUCUUAGGAAGAUGGCGGUUGCAUUCAACAACCACAAGAAUCGUGAAUGGGCCAAGUACGUCAAGGGAGGAAGGAAGACUCCAGUAUUUGAGGGAACACUAGAGAAGCAAAGUGCUCAUUGGGACGAUUUCGUGAAAUUCAAGGAUUCGGAAUUAUCUAAGGAACGAUCGAGAAUAAACAAGGCCAAUGCCGCAAAAAAGGAUAAGUUCCAUAAGCUGGGGCCAGGUGGCUAUGCGAUGGGAAUGCCUAAGUGGGAUAAGUCUGAGAAAGAGAUGGAGGAUGCAUGUGUCACUCCAGAAACAUUGAGCUGGCCCCCAGGUGCAGGACUUGGUUCUAUGCGCAUGGGGGGAGUUGGACCCGAAGACAGGCAAAGUUUCAAAGAAGGCAUAUCUGGACGAAGCCGAAGAUAAGCUACUUGUUGCAAUAGAAGAGGCUCGAUCGGGAGUGUUCCAGCCCAACAGAGAGAACGACGAGCUUACGCGUGCCCUGGGAAAUCCUGAACACCCGGGAAGAACACGAGGCAUGAGCGCUAUUCCGUGGUAUGAGGGGUUUUCGGACUGGAAUGCCGACUACAGAACCCGUGCGAGAAAUAAGAUUGCGGAGGAGAAGAAGAGGAAGAUGGAGGAGGAGCAGAGGAAGCUAGACUAUGAACGCCUUCAAGGCCUAGAAUCAGCGCACGCGGACUUGGCAGUCAAAUUCCAGCGGCAGCAGGAGCAGAUCGACUCACUUAGCCAGCAAAGGGGGGCCUCAACAGCUGCAGCAGCUAGCGGAUGAUCCAGCAUUGGAUAGCACCGUCCCAUCCAUGCCGAGAAGUAGCAUGGGUUCCGCUCCGGGCGACGCAUUGCUGGAUAGCUACCCAGUGGAUGACAUCAUGGAGAACACUAACUGCGAGCUACACUUCAAAAUGAAGAACAUAUCCAUGAAGGUGGCGGACGCCCUUGCUUUUACAAAUCCCCCCGAGGCAACCUUCCAUUGCAACCCGAUUCCAGCGGGCUAUGCUCGUGUCUUGGUUGAUGAGGUGGUGGACCAAUAUUCAGGGCUAGAGCUUGACAUUCCUGGAGGUGACGAUGAGCACACACUGGGAGAGGCCAACCAUCGUAUCAUCCUAUGGAGAAAGGAUUGCAUUAUCUUUCAAAGGCCACCGACACCGCAUCAUCCGACUCCUCGUCGAAGUCCGCCACCGAGUCAGCAGACUCCCGCUCCUCCAAGUCCACCAAAGCGUCAGGCCACUCCUCCUCCAAGUCCGGCACAGCUUCAGGCCACUCAUCCUCCAAGUCCGGCACAGCUUCAGGCCACUCCUCCUCCUCCAACUCAGCCACGUCAGCCGUCUUCGCCGCCUCAGCAAUCACGGAAGAGAACCGCCUCAGCUAUGGUGCGUAGCGGUACAAGUCGAGGUAGUACUGGAGGUACAGGCGGAGGCAAGCGAUUUCAAUAUGGUCCAAGCCUCGCGCCUCUUCCGCAGAGGCCUUACGACAAGUCCGAGGAGGAAAACGUAGCCAUAUCGAAGGCCGAGGUGGAAGCCCAUUUUGCACCAAAACCGCCACCGCCGCCAAGGGAGAAAGUGCCUGAGGAAAAGACUGACCACUUCAUUCGUAUGGCUAGAGCACCAGCUCCCAAGCCUGUUGACACAGACUAUGAGCGCCACAUCAAGAAGUUAAAUCGAGCACGUCUACAGAAAGAGGCGAGCUCGAGCUCGAGCAAAUCAGCUGGCAAAAGGAACGGUAAAACCGUUCCCCAGCUGGGAGAACAGGCGGCGCAAUCAAUCCCCCCGCUUGUUGUGCCAACAACACAUGAGAGUAGGCGCGCCCAAUAUUAUUGUGGGCAAACCGUUAACGUUCCCGGGCUGGGCGAUGUGGUAAUAACCGUGGAGCAUAUUGAGCAGGCUGAAACGCUCAUGAUCACUGUUGGAUAAAUCCUCGAUAUCAAGCCCAUGUCUUCGACUAGAGAGGAGGAAAUAAAACGGAAAUAUGUCCGGGGCCAACCUUUGGUCGAGCCAGACGUUGUCAAGAAGCUCCCAACAAGAAUGUAUGAAUUGCAUCAAUGGUACAUGGACAUUACAAAGAUUUCCAAUCGAGAGUCCCUCAUGGUGAAUGUCGAGAAGGAUCAUUACUACCAUGAGACAGCUGUGUCCGUUGAGUAUUCAGAACUAUUUCAGCUAUACAAUCAAGACGCACUCGACAAAUCUAUCGUCAGUUGCUAUUGUCUGUAAGUGAUUUCUUUCUGUAAUUUAAGUCUCAAGCUAGUUGUAGUGAUCAUUUUGAUCAAUCAUUACCUGUAAUUAUCCUCACUAUAUUCUUUUCUGUGGUAUUAUGCAAGAUGAAGAUUUAUGAAAUGAAAAAAGGUGGAUGCUAUGGCAUUGGGUUCGUUGACCCAAAUACCAUUAAUGAAUACACAUGGAAAUUAUAUCCAUAUUACGAAAAAAGUGUAGAGAAAAGCAUGCUAGAGUUCUUCAAGCGCCUCAAAUACAAUGAAGAUAUACUACUUCCUUACAACUUCGAGUGAGUCACACUGUCUUGUACUACAAAUUCUGUUUUUGCCUACUAGCUAGCUACAUGUUUUUGCUUACAUAUGCCCGCUUAAUUAAGACAUGCAAACGUGUGUGCAUGCAGAUUUCACUGGAUCUUGUUAAUCAUUAAAGUUGAUGAAGGAACAGUUGAAGUACUAGACUCACUACUUAAGAAAGCAAGUGACUACACCAUCGUGGAGGGGAUAGUCAACAGGUAAUUUCAAUCAUUAUUAACUAUAUCUCGGCAUAUUUAAUUAGUUCGUCAUUUCCUGAUAACAACUAUUUAAUAACCCAUUUAUUCAUUUUCUUUGUCAGCGGGUAGGGCUUGGGCAAAGUUCAUCAGGGCCACUCCAGGCCCAUGGAAACAAAAUAUGAAAUGGUAUCGACUCCAGGUAAGUAAUUAAGUAGUACUAGCUAGCUGUCAUCUCUUUAAUUAUCAUGCUUGAUUAAUUAUUAUAUGAUCAAAUUCCAUUCUCGUAAAGGCCCUGAAGCAGGCGCCGGGGAAUAAUCUGUGUGCAUACUACGUUUGCAAGAACAUUCGCAUGAUGGCGUCCAAAAGGAGCAGAUCUCAAAGACAGGAGUUGGUACGUUUGUCGGAACACUAUUCACAAUUUUUACACCAUUAUCGAUAUCUAGUCACACAAUUAAUACGCAUGCAUAUUGAUCUCCUUCUUAACAGUUCAAAGAGGUGCGGGAGAAGCUCCUAUCAGAGAACCGCAUAGAAGCAAUUCAAGAGGAAAUAGCGGGAUUUUUGCUCGACCAGGUCAUAGAUCCCAAGGGAGAAUACUAUUACCCGCUACCGCCCCCAUGAACCACUUCCAAUUGUUAUCGUGCUCCGAAGGCACCAAUUAGGCUAAUGCCACUGGCUUCAAAGGCAUCAAUUAUAUAUAUAUAUAUAUAUAUAUAUAUAUACAUGUGUGUAUAUAUGUGUGAAUUAAUUAAUGGUGGUUGUGAGACAUUCGAUGAUAUAUAUAUAGGGUCGCGCUAUUCGUUGCUCAGGGUGAAGAAUUGUUAUUUCUCACCCCGGCCAUCCCUAAGGAACGUGAGGAGGUAAAAUUACACCCUGAAAAAUGGAACCGGUCUAUGUUCUGGAGCUACAAAAGAAACGCAACAAACAAAGGUUUAGAUGUAAAUUUAUCUCACACACGGGUGGCCCGGUACCAAAAAAGCCUCAGCCUUGCGAGGUAAUUUUUACCUCACGCGAAAAACACCCCAUGGAUCGUGGGAGGGCUCUACAUUCUCCACACCAUCUCUACCAGGUCACCUCCACUAUCCGGACCCGUUCCUCGUGCAGCCAUAGCGGUUCUUCUCCGGAUGCCAGCGGAGCAGGUUAGUCUAUCCCUACGCUGGCGUGCCGGCUCCGGUGUCUGGGCAGAAGGGGAGGAGGUCGUCCCACAGCGGGAUACCGUCUAACGGAAGCAGCGGCGCCAAGUCUUACAGGGCCGCACUCUGCGGCGUCGACGCUCUCCACGAGCUCCACUAUUGUAUUGUCUCCUAGCCUCACCUCCCUGAUUGAAUCUGGAUCCAGAGAUUUCAUCGGCGCUGUUGAGUAGUCAUGUUCCAGUUAUCAUCGGCCUCCUCUUCAAGCUGGUCACGAUCGACCUCCUACUUAAUUGUAAGUUGUGGCUGGCUCCUUCAAACGUGGCUGCCUCCACCCCCCUAGUGACAUCCGUACCUACUUUUGAUAAACUGAAGCUUGUUUGUGUAUUCAGAGUGCAUCAGAAUUUUUUUUGUCGUGAGUUGUUAUAUAAGCAGUGGUGCUAAUUAGUGCACUCUUCAAGAAUCACUUGUCCCUGUUGUAAUGAGAGCAGAACGAGGUGCCCAUGUUAUGUGAAAUAAAAAUGCUUAUGUUAAGGUCUUAUAAGAUUAGAACAAGUCGAUGCAUGUAUCUUUUUGAAAUUAGUGACAAAGGUAUCAAUAGCUCAUUUUGUUGUGGGAGCGCCGCUGAACAUUCAACUGUUUUUUUGUGUUGUUUUUUAGAAGUUUUCAUAUAAUGUCUGAAGGCUUAAGUGAUUCUUAGUUCAUACAAUGACCUUGUUCUUGCUGCGUUUCAAUUUUGUGUGCUAAUCUGAUUUUGAGUUCUCUUGGUUUAAUUAAGAACCAGAUCAAUAUUUUCUAGGUAAAGUUGAAGCUUUAUUGAUACAGGAAACCAUUACAAUUAUUUGACGCAACACUUUCUACAGGCUCCGACACAUGCAAGGUCCAAAUAGAACCAGACCCUCAAACUCUAAUCUCAAAAAGGAAAAUUCUUUAGUUUUACAUGGUGUCACAGUGUUGCAACUGGACAUGACAGGCAACUCUUGACCAACGUGUUCCUAAAAUGCUGACUUCAGAUGUUCACUCUGACAAAUUAUUGAUGCAGAGAAAUAAUGAGCUUCUGUCAGUUUUGCAUGUUAACAAAUCUUGCUUGUUAUUAAUAUCUAUCAAUUUUCUCUGUGAGAAUUACAAUUUUGCAUAUUUCCCAACUGUAUUCUCUUGAUACGAAGGGCAUGGAUAAUACAGAUCAAAAUUUCCUUCUCUUCCGCGUGCAACUUCAGAUAUAUGUCUUUUAUACAUGUCAUUUAGCUGGUGAGAUCUGCAUCUUUGCUUUGUAGGUGGCAAGUGAAUCAAGUAAUUUAGUACGGACUAAUAAAUUGCNNNNNNNNNNNNNNNNNNNNNNNNNNNNNNNNNNNNNNNNNNNNNNNNNNNNNNNNNNNNNNNNNNNNNNNNNNNNNNNNNNNNNNNNNNNNNNNNNNNNNNNNNNNNNNNNNNNNNNNNNNNNNNNNNNNNNNNNNNNNNNNNNNNNNNNNNNNNNNNNNNNNNNNNNNNNNNNNNNNNNNNNNNNNNNNNNNNNNNNNNNNNNNNNNNNNNNNNNNNNNNNNNNNNNNNNNNNNNNNNNNNNNNNNNNNNNNNNNNNNNNNNNNNNNNNNNNNNNNNNNNNNNNNNNNNNNNNNNNNNNNNNNNNNCCACUUACGAGAACGAGCACAACCACAACCAUGUGCAGCUACUCCAUCUGUCGAUGCUUGCGUGCAAUCAGAAGCUUGACUAAAGCCGUGCCAAUGCCAGAAGAAGAUAGAAGAAUUCUGAAUCCUAAUGCCAUGGAUGGACCAUGGCAUUCAGUUGGACUUUGGUUAUUCAGUCUAACAAGAUCUGGAUAGAACUGAAAUUUGUAACGGGAAGACAGAUUUCACCAUCGUGUUAUCCUGGUAGCAAAGUGUCUUGUUCAGUGUAUCUGAGAAAAAAAAUGUUGCUUUCUUGGUCUUGGAUUCAUGCUCUGCAGUUUCCUCCGGUGUUCUACACAACAAGUUGUCUACCGGACCACAUUGUGUGUUCUACUCAUUAGCUGUAGACCACACAAAAAAUUUCCUGAGCGUUGUUGCCAAGACAUAAAAAUGACAUGACUACAUCGGUGUAACAAUGAACAAAGAUGAUCCGAGUUUACAUAAAAAUUACAGAGCAAUAAGUUUGAUUCAUUGCUUGACAAAGUAGCACGUACAAAUUCAAUCUAUAGAGAAAACUAAGUUCCUCUCGUCCUUCUCGAGAUGGGCAGUGGUUCAGCCAUGACAAACUGCGGACACUGGAUUUCGAAUUAGAGGUUACAAAACCACAUUGGAUGACCCUACAGUUUUUGCUGUAUCUCUAGUUAGCCUUUACAACAUCCACGUCUGGAUGACCCUACAGAUUCAGCAAAGGUCAUUGAAAAGGUUCCAGGGCCUGGACAAUAGUUACAUGUACACGUAUAUUGCAGCUCCUCGUGACUUCUCCGUCGUGUUUCCAAGGACAAAAAUGUAAGCUGAAAAGAGAAGCAUUAGUUUGAAAGGUAAUCUUCAUAAUCCAUCAGCCACAUGUUACAAGGAACUACAUAAAUAUUAGAAAAAAUAAAUAAAUAUUAGACAGAAAUAAAUAGACGAUUAUCUAUGGCAGUGGUAAAAAGUUCCCAAGGACAAAGAACGUAAUCAUAUUUCAAUAGAUAGCUCUGAAAAAUCCAAAGAAUGUGUUAACGAUGAACAACAACACCGACGAUUCCCUAAGCACUUGACGACAACAAUAGAUACCUCUGUAAUACACAUUCAACUGUAUGUAUAGUUUGUACUUUUUAUAGGUGCGUGUUUUGUACUCUUAGAAGUUUCUUCAUUGGCCUUCUCAAUGUACUGUGAGGUGACAAAACACUCAUGCAACCAGAAUAAUAUUUCCUGUUCAAUCCUACUAAUACAACUCGAUGCUUUACAAAAUUCCAAUAUCAUGGAGUGGAGAUACAUCAAUAGGAAGGUCUAUCAUCCGUAACACUUAUUCAACUGUAUCAUAGCUACACCACCAAAGACUAUCUAAAUGCUACCAAAAACACUCAUGUCCCCGAGAUACAUAAUUGUUCUACAAGGGGAAUUUUUUUCCUAUAGAAGUUGCAAAUAAUAAAUUGAUCAACAAUAUUAGGCAUAUAAUUACACAUUCUAAAACGGAAUACUACCUAACUUGAAAGCUGAUUACUGUCGAACUUGAUCUUCAAGCAGCUUAAUUUGCAGGUGACCAGAAAUUUUACAUCAACUUAUCUAUUCAGCAAUCUCUCCAGCGACUGAAACAUUAUUAUCCAUGGGCUGUAAGCCUGUAACCAACAUAGUAUCCUAUUAAUAGUACUGUACCCUUUAGGUUCACUUUUCUUCUAACCAAAACAUGAAUAUUUCUUCUGGUUAUUAAAGAUGAAGACAUUGCUCUGUAAUUCUCUAUCCCUCAUACAUUAACCGUCAUCCGCUUGAACAGAUACCUGAAAAACAGAAUAUUUUCAGUUCUUAGAAGUAUACGAAUAAAAGGAGGCCACCAACAAAGAAGCACAUAUAACACUUAGGGCCCGUUCGGAAGCUCUCUCGCUUCCCAAGUGGCCAGCUUCUCACGGGAGGUGAUAAGCGUUCGGCAGCAGCGGCAGAUUCUGCUCCGUCAACAUGGGCCAGAGAGGAGAGGACCCCAUAGUCAAAUCACCCUGCGAGGACGCUGGUUCGCUCCGCUCAUAUCGAAUCGUUAUGCAUGCCACUUCGGAAGGGCAUUGGGAUGUAAUAAAGAGCAACUUCUGCUCCUGGUUUUCACGAAGCUUGGGCUGGAGUAGCUCCAGAAAAUUGCACUGCGUCCAGAAUUGCUCCGCGGAGCAGGCUUCUUGAAGCUGCCGGUGUUCGGCCAGCUCCUCACCCGCUUUCGGAGAAGCGCGGAGCCGGAGCACUUCCGAACAGGCCCUUAAAGGAUUAGCAGGCUUCGGUAUCCUAAACUGGAAACAAUGUCAAAAUCAAAGAUAUCAUAGAGGGAUUUUGGAUGCACGAAAUUUAUCGGAAUCACAUGAACCCAUAACACGCUGGCUCCAUGGUAUGAAUCAAAAAUAUAGAGAGAAAUAAGAUAAACAGGCCAAACUCUGUAAUCACUGUUUCAAUGCACACUAAACCGUGUCUUUUAUCAAGUUGUGUGAGGUACAACACUGGAAGUCAUCAUAUUGAACUAGACAUUGUCUGGCACCAAAGAGUCAUCAAAAUGAAACACAUAAUUGACCAGGCACACAUAAUUACUUGCCAAAAAAGUACAUUCCAAUAUGAUUUAUGCUACAAAAAACAAACAACCUGAAUGAAAAAUGAAAAUUUAUUGUUAUAGAAGAUUUUUUUCCUGGACUAAGGGCGGGUUAAAAAAAUUAGCAAAGUUUGACAGGCUUGAUGAGGGUCAGGGUCCACCUGAUGGUAACUAAAAUAAAUCUAACUCGGCUUCCAUGAAUAUUGACAAGCUAGGAGAUGGUCCGUGUAUACCAACAAAUGUUUCCAACCAGCCACAUACAAAAAUCUAGCGUACCAUAUGGAUUCAGCCACAUUCACGAGCUAAUGUACAAAUUCUGAUAGACAAGGUAAGAGAUAUGGGGCCAACAAAAAAUAGGAGCAUGUACAAGAAAUACAUAUUCCAAACUUGCAUGCGACAUCAAUUGCAUCGCUUGUUUACAUCGACGUAAAAUAGGAGCACAUCCAGCUAUAUCCUUCUGUUCAGUGUGUAUCAACAGAUCAAAACUACAAAUAAAUAGGUGCUUAACCAUUUAUCAUUCGCCUUAAGCUCGGUGUAAAAAUGUGAGAAGCAAACCUGAGAAAGUUUAGUGUACUGCAAGUUUAUGUCGUGCUUUCACAGAAGGUUAGUGCUUCUAUGAAUUGGAUAAGGAAAACCAUAUUCUGCAUCUUGCCAUUCGCUAGUUGCUACCAUGUCUCACUACAGAGUUCUGCAGCCUCACUGUAGUGUUCAGGACGAGUCAACGUUUAAGAAAAGACACAUUCAUGUCCUUUAGCAAGAUCCUUGAAUCAAAAAGUUUAAAUUUCAAUCUAUUCAGAGGUAAGAUCAGCCCCGAUGACAGUGUUUGAAGGACUGGAAACCUAACAAAACGGUAUAGGGAGUUAGUGAGAUUGUGCAUUAAGAUAAAACUUACUUGGGCUUGAAUGAUUUGUACUUCUUAUUCGGGAGUGAUUUCUUCGUUGCUCGCAGCAUUCGUCUCGUUCUUUCAAAUUUUCUUGUGUUUUAUCCUUUAUGGUUUCCUUCAGUGCCUUCUUCUACAACAAAGCAGAUGCAACAUAAUUAAUGGGAUGACCAUCCUAAAUAUAGUAGCAGCAUCCCAACUCCACUCUAAGUGAAAACGGUUGGACAUGGCUCUUUGUUUUUCGUACUAGUGGAGCUCCAGGGAAGAAAGAAGGAACAAUUCAUCCAAAACAGAGAGGAAAAUAGGAAACAGGGCUAUCACCUUUGGCUGGAUCGAAGAAGAUACUAAUGUUGUUCCUCCGCAUCGUUGAGCUUCUCCUCUUCUUCUCCUCCUGCAUGAUUUCCACCUCCUUCAAAUGAUCCCACAAUCGAGCGAAGGUCUACUCCAUCACCCCCUCAAACACGCAAGCUCCCCUCUUUUCUUUCAUCUCCUUUCUUGGUCUACUUCCUCUUUCUUUGUCCAUCCUCAAAAAAUCAAGAACCCUAACCCUAAAAAUUCAGAAAUUCAUGGAGGAAAGGGGAAGGAAUAAGAGGAGGGAGACCUUAACGGUGAGAAUACCUCCGGCGGCGUACAGGGACGCCGGAUAAGGUCGUUGCCGUCGCCGAGCUCGCACUGUAUCGCCGCACUGCCCAAUUCGCCUCCUGAUCACUACCCCAUGAAGAGGGAAAGGGGGGAGUACUCCACGUACGAGAGGCGAGUAGCCCUUGUCUCCGGGUCGUCCCUCCGGCACCAUCGCCGUCACUGCCGCCGCCUCGACAAUCGUCGGAGAGGACGGUCCGGGGAGAGAGGGACGGUGUCGAGCCCAUCCGCACUAAAGUGAAACCGCCCGUAGCUGAUUAGAAAGGAUAUAGGUGUUGGGGAGUGGGCUCCUCCUACGGUCCUACUGUACCAGUCAAGCGCUCCUACAAACAUAAAUUUACAGCAGUGGAACAUAAUUUUACAUCGGUCAAGAUUUGCUCCGACCGUGGCUCGGUUGAUGGACUGGGGUGAAGAAUUACUUAUUCUUCACCCUGGGUUAUUAAUAGNNNNNNNNNNNNNNNNNNNNNNNNNNNNNNNNNNNNNNNNNNNNNNNNNNNNNNNNNNNNNNNNNNNNNNNNNNNNNNNNNNNNNNNNNNNNNNNNNNNNNNNNNNNNNNNNNNNNNNNNNNNNNNNNNNNNNNNNNNNNNNNNNNNNNNNNNNNNNNNNNNNNNNNNNNNNNNNNNNNNNNNNNNNNNNNNNNNNNNNNNNNNNNNNNNNNNNNNNNNNNNNNNNNNNNNNNNNNNNNNNNNNNNNNNNNNNNNNNNNNNNNNNNNNNNNNNNNNNNNNNNNNNNNNNNNNNNNNNNNNNNNNNNNNNNNNNNNNNNNNNNNNNNNNNNNNNNNNNNNNNNNNNNNNNNNNNNNNNNNNNNNNNNNNNNNNNNNNNNNNNNNNNNNNNNNNNNNNNNNNNNNNNNNNNNNNNNNNNNNNNNNNNNNNNNAACCUUUUAAUACCGGUUGGUGUCACCAACCGGUACUAAAGGGCUCCCUGCCCCCGAAGCUGGCUCGUGCCACGUGGUUGCCCUUUAGCAGCGGUUCAUGCUGAACCGGUACUAAAGGGGGGCCUUUAGUGCCCACACUUUAGUGCCGGUUACCGAACCGGCACUAAAGGGCCUUACGAACCGGUGCUAUUGCCCGGUUCUGCACUAGUGAUCAUUGGCCCCUCAACAUAUAGUUGGGAUCUAUGUGAGGAAUAACUGUAUUACCGUCAAUACCUCAAGCCCCUCACAUGGAAAGUUAUUCAAGGCCAGUAUGCUGAUUCAAUGAGAAACAUUUCCAGGCAUUAGGGGGAGAAUUCAAGUACCAUAAAGAAUGACAGGAAAUUAGUGGAAUGUUCAACACAUUUCUGCCUCAGAUCCACAUACUCAAAGAUCUGAACCAUGCGUUCGGAAGAUUUGCAAUACAUUGCGAAUAAUCUGCCAUAUUCAUUUACUAACUAUAAAGGUGUCACACAAUCCUACAAUCCUGCAAAAGUACGCCUAAAAAAGUGGAGGUACCAACAAAAUCCACUCCACUCCCCGUUCAAAGCAACAGGAGGAGAUGUAUGGCAGAAGUACAGCAGGAUUCAGCUUCUCGCAAGUAAGGAUAUCAAGGCUUGUGAAUCAGUAAAUGCAAGUCAACUUCACGUUGACAGACACCUAAUGGGUAGUAUACACCCGGUGGACGGGAAACCUCCACCAACCCAUGUCAUAGUGCACACAAUGACCGGGAUAUCGGAAUACCCGACUCAAUCGCAUUGGGAAAUCGCGAGCAGUCACCAUGGGUAACGAUAUUUCCAUCAACUAUAUAUUCAUAUAUAGAUUCUGGAGAAUCAUAUAACCGGAAGUCUGCAAUUGUCGACGUACAUUUCUCAACUAGAUUGCAAAACCUUUCAUAUGAUUCAGAUCCAAAGACCAUGGCCAUGGCAAAGUGUGAACAACACUCGGACUGAACUCAAGCAAAGGGUAUAAUCUAGAUAGAAAUAAUCUUGCUCAAUAAAUGGGAAGGUAUUCAUAAGCAAUACCUACACCAGUUUUCUUCUGGAAACGGAAUUUAGAACAAUGAGAUGGUGAAACAUAGAGCAAGUAUUGUAGCACAAGGGUUCACGCAGAUACCCAACUAUUCUCCAGAGGUGGAAUCUCUUUCCGAUAACUUACAUCAUUGGCAAUACAAAGUCAUGCAAUUGAUAGAUGUAGUGAUUACAUAUACAUGUGGAUCUCUAGAUUCAAACAUAGAUGGUUCCCAAUGGAGUCUCACUUCUGAAUCGAAAUGCAAAACGCAACAUACAAUGUGUAAAAUCAAUAAAUCACCAUAUGGCUAAUUAUUGUCGUUACAUUUGAUACAACCGACGUAGUGAGUUCCUUAUUCACAAGGAUUACUCCUAAAUUAAUGAUUAUCCAUGCAUGAUCGUCAUAUGCAAGGAUUACUCCUACAAUGACGAAUCGUGUGAUGAUCUAAAUGACAGAAUUUGAGAUGAAGGAUUUGGGUAAACCUCGAGCGCCUUCACUCAUGCAUUAUGGUACACCAUGUUGUCUAUAUCCAGAAUAUAUUGGAGAAAUCCAUUGUGGACAAAUAUUAUCCAUCCGCAACUCUCAUGGCAGAUCUUUCUCUAGACGUAGAGAAAGAUCUAUUUAGACCGAGAGAUGAUGGAAACGAGAUAUUGGGACUCAACGUUCCAUAAUGUCAUUGGAUCCACCAAACACAGUUGGUCGGGACUCAAGAAUAUCUUUUGAUAUCUAAGGCAUCAAACAUCUAGUCCUGGGUUUUCAAUUUCAGAGAAAUCUGAACACCAAUAUCAUUGGAUACAUUAAUCAGAUCCCCACCAUGUCAGAUCAUAGACAAGCUUAGUAUUAAUACUACAUCCACCGAUCAUUAUCUCAAAGAUAAUGUUACUUGUGUUCGUCCGGAUGCAAACACAUUAUGAAGCAAGCAAUAUCACUAUAUUGCUCAUCUUGCAAGUCAAAUCAUACAACAAACUUCUACAUUUGUUCACAAAGUCUCUACCAACUUCGGCAUCCAGAAAAUAUUCUUGGAAUUGGUAUUCGACGGCUUUGAGAUAUGCAAGAAUCAGGGGGAGUAUCUUCCUGAAUUACUCUUGUUCAAUGCAUCAUAUUAUACUCUUUUUCCCUUUAUGACUUUACUUCACAUGUUCUCAUUAAGGUUUUUAAUGAGGUAAUAUUAACACAAGAUCAUAUGUCAUAUUUUCUAUUUUCCCCACUGGGGUUUUUAAGAAAGUAUAUACGACAUAUUUAUUGUCCUCUUAAUUCUAUGGGUUUUCCUCAUAUCGAGUUAAAACAGACAAUAAACAUUAUGUGUUGCGGCAUUUUCUUCUUAUUUUUCCCACUGGAUUUGAAGGAGUUUUGGCAACAUAUCAAACACUAUACUCCUCAUAUUUUUCUCACAGGGUUUUUGGAGGAGACUCUAAUCAAGAUGAUGAUUCUGGAUGGACACUCGUUGUCCCCCUUGCUUGGCUCUUCCUCUAACCGGUUGUUGUGUAACAAGUGAGUAGGGCCCAGUAGAAGGCCCAUGAAUUUUUCUCAUCAACUUGAUGAAUUAAUUUUAAGAUAUAGGACUUCCCUAUUAGAACAGGUUGCUCAAAGGGGUCGCCUGUUCUUCCUGUUAAGAAUAAAGCAACGUCAUUAGCACUAAGAGUCGUCACGUGUGUCCAAAGCGCCGUACGGACGCGAACGUCCGUACAGGUGUCUUCUUGCGCCACAGGCGCCUGUUGUAAACGGACGCCUCUCCAGAGGUGCCCCAAAUCCUUGUAUAAAUGGGGCUUUGCCCAGAAUCAAUAGAACACAAGUUUUUCAUCAAAUCUUUGCAUGUUAUCAGCCACGCUAGCCUCGGCCAACAAAGCACGAACAAGAAGAGACGAGAAGGUAAGAUGGCAGGUAUGAACCUGCAUAGAAUCACCUCUGCCCUUGUUCGAUUCAUUGGACGGGAGAUCCGUCGAUCUGCCAGACGCCACAGUGCUGGUGCUCCUCGACAUUGGGGCCCAGGCAACAGUCGCCGUGGUCGUCGUGGUCGCCGUGGUCGUCGGGAGCACCCUGGCCCCGCCGCCGCAGAACAGGCAGGACCAAGCAACUCAUCUGUCGCCGUCCACCAUGCCUACCAGGCACCCCCGAUGCCGGCCUUCGUCACUCCGCCAAUGGACUGGGCUCCCGCCGAGGCUGCAGCCUCGUUCCUGGGCGAGGAGGAGUUCUUCAACGCCGCCCAGGCCUCGCCACCGCCAGGGGUCUUCUUCGGCAAUGGCAUGGACGCAGGCGUGGCCUUCUGUCUAGUGCACGGAUAUGGCCCUUGCCCGGCCCGCGAUUUCUGCCCCGUGCACGGGUACGGGCCGUGCCUGAGGGAGUCCUGGAUUAGGGGGUGUUCGGGUAGCCGGACUAUACCUUCAGCCGGACUCCUGGACUAUGAAGAUACAAGAUUUAAGACUUCGUCCCGUGUCCGGAUGGGACUUUCCUUGGCGUGGAAGGCAAGCUUGGCGAUGCGGAUAUUCAAGAUCUCCUACCAUUGUAACCGACUCUAUGUAACCCUAACCCUAUCCGGUGUCUAUAUAAACCGGAGGGUUGUAGUCCGUAGGCAAUCAACUCCAUAUACAACAAUCAUACCAUAUGCUAGCUUCUAGGGUUUAGCCUCCUUGAUCUCGUGGUAGAUCUACUCUUGUGCUACCCAUAUCAUCAAUAUUAAUCAAGCAGGACGUAGGGUUUUACCUCCAUCAAGAGGGCCUGAACCUGGGUAAAACAUCGUGUUCCCUGCCUCCUGUUACCAUCCGGCCUAGACGCACAGUUCGGGACCCCCUACCCGAGAUCCGCCGGUUUUGACACCGACAUUGGUGCUUUCAUUGAGAGUUCCUCUGUGUCGUCUCCUUUAGGCCCGAUGGCUCCUUUGAUCAUCAACAACGAUGCGCUCCAGGGUGAGACUUUUCUCCCCGGACAGAUCUUCGUCUUCGGCGGCUUCGCUCUGCGGGCCAAUUCACUCGGCCACCUGGAGCAGAUCGAAAGCUACGCCCCUGACCAUGAAGUCAGGUUUGGAAGCUUAAACUACACGGCUGACAUCCGCGGAGACUUGAUCUUCGACGGGCUCGAGCCACGGCCAAGCGCGCCGCACUAUCUCGAGGGGCAUGAUCUAGCUCUGCCCCCGGACAGUGUCCUGGAGGCAGCACACGCAUCGGUUUCGACCCCUAACUCGGAGCCUAUUGCGCCAAUCGAGGAUGAGCGGUUGGACGUCACCUCGGGGGCUGCGAUCCCGAAAGCGAUCGAGCCGAAUGCUAGCCCCGCACUCUGCACGACCCGUGACUCCAAGGAUCCGGACUCCUCCCCGGACUCCAAACCCCCCGCGCCCCUGCCAAUCGAAUCCGAUUGGGCGCCGAUAAUGGAGUUCACCGUCGCAGACAUCUUUCAGCACUCACCUUUUGACGAUAUCCUGAACUCUCUCAAGUCUCUCUCCUUAUCAGGAGAGCCCUGGCCGAACUACGGUCAGCGAGGAUGGGAUACGGACGAUGGAGAAAUUCAAAGCCCACCCACCACCUACUUGGUAGCCACUGUCGACAAUUUAAACGACGUGCUCAACUUCGACUCCGGAGACAUCGACAGCAUGGAUGACGAUGCAGGAGAUACCGACGAACCAACGCCCAUAGGGCAUUGGACAGCCACCUCAUCUCACGAUGUGUACAUGGUGGAUACCCCUAAAGGAAACAACAACGAGGAAAAAGGAGAUGGGACGGGAGAUCGACCCCCCGAAAAGCAAUCAAAGCGUCGGCGUAAACACUGACCCAAGCCCCGCCUCGACAAAAACCCAACCAUAGAGCAGGACGAGCCGGUAGACGACGAGCAGGCCUUAGAGCAACCAUCUGAACAGGGCAACACGGAUAGAGAAACCGAACAUCCCUCCUCCGGCAAAAACGGCAUUCCGGACGACCUCCCGUCGGAUAAACCUAUGGAGCAGAAGAAUCUCCACGAGAGGCUCGUUGCAACUGCACGCAGCCUAAAAAAGCAUAAGCGGAAGCUAAAAACAGCGGAAGAUGCACUCCGGAUUAGAUGGAGCAAAAUAAUCAAUACCGCAGAUAAAUACGGCGACAGUCGGCGCACUAAAAGCUAUCCAAAAAGAAAGCUACUGCCUGAAUUCGACGAAGAGGCCCUAGAGCCCUCGCAUUCAAAAAAUGAGAAAGCCACACGGUCGGAUAGACGACCCCAUAAAGCGACAAGCGGCGCCGCACCUAGAUCGGCAUGCGACCCACUUAAGGAUUCGCAUCAUGGCCCAGUUAGGUCCAUUUAUGGGCCAAGAAAGCAAGCUCUCAUAAGCAAUGCUAUGAAGCCAUCAUCAGAAUCCGGCACACCCAAGUACAGGGGCGCCGCACACCCCCUAUGUUUCACCGAUGAGGUCCUGGACUAUGAAUUUCCAGAGGGAUUCAAACCCGUAAACAUAGAGGCAUAUGAUGGAACAACAGACCCCGGAGUUUGGAUCGAGGAUUAUAUCCUCCACAUACACAUGUCUAGAGGAGAUGAUCUCCACGCCAUAAAAUAUUUACCCCUUAAGCUUAAAGGACCAGCCCAGCAUUGGCUUAAAAGCCUUCCUGAAAACACAAUUGGAAGCUGGGAAGAGCUCGAGGAUGCUUUCCGAGCAAACUUUCAAGGGACCUAUGUCCGCCCUCCGGAUGCAGACGAUCUUAGUCACAUAACUCAACAACCCGGAGAAUCAGCUCGGCAGUUCUGGAAUAGAUUCCUCACUAAAAAGAAUCAGAUAGUCGACUAUCCGGACGCCGAAGCCUUAGCAGCUUUCAGGCAUAACGUCCGAGACGAAUGGCUCACCAGACACCUCGGCCAAGAAAAGCCAAGAACAAUGGCCGCACUAACAAGCCUCAUGACCCGCUUUUGUGUAGGGGAGGACAGCUAGUUGGCAAGGUGCAGCCCCAGCGACCCAAGUACAUCCGAAACUAGGGAUGGAAAUGGAAAACCGCGACGCAACAAGGACCGUCGUUGGACUAAGGACAAAAGUCCGAAGAGCACGGCANNNNNNNNNNNNNNNNNNNNNNNNNNNNNNNNNNNNNNNNNNNNNNNNNNNNNNNNNNNNNNNNNNNNNNNNNNNNNNNNNNNNNNNNNNNNNNNNNNNNNNNNNNNNNNNNNNNNNNNNNNNNNNNNNNNNNNNNNNNNNNNNNNNNNNNNNNNNNNNNNNNNNNNNNNNNNNNNNNNNNNNNNNNNNNNNNNNNNNNNNNNNNNNNNNNNNNNNNNNNNNNNNNNNNNNNNNNNNNNNNNNNNNNNNNNNNNNNNNNNNNNNNNNNNNNNNNNNNNNNNNNNNNNNNNNNNNNNNNNNNNNNNNNNNNNNNNNNNNNNNNNNNNNNNNNNNNNNNNNNNNNNNNNNNNNNNNNNNNNNAACACGGACGAUCCAUCCAACCUAAAUAAAAUCCUGGACAGGAUAUGUCAGAUACACAGUACUCCCGGGAAGCCUGCUAACCAUACCCACAGAGACUGUUGGGUUUUCAAACAAUCCGGCAGACUCAAUGCCGAACACAAGGGGCUCGACACACCAAGCGAAGACGAGGACGAACCCCAAAAGUAGAGCACCGGGAAACAAAAGAACUUUCCACAAGAAGUAAAAACAAUGAACUUACUUCACAUAACAAAACGUGCGGCGCCCAUAAAGGUACGCACCACACGACCUAUCCCCAAAGGGUCCCGCCACUGGUUGUCAAAACCAAUCAUCUUCGAUCAGCUAGAUUAUUCUAGAAAUAUCAAGAAUGCAGGCUGGACUGCCUUCAUACUCGAUCCAAUAAUUGGCGGACUCCGGUUUUCAAAUGUCCUUAUGGACGGCGGCAGUGGACUAAACCUGAUAUAUCAGGAUACAAUCCAUCACAUGGGGAUAAACCCAGCAAGAAUCCGCCACAGCAAAACCUCCUUUCAAGGGGUAACACCUGGUCCGGACACCCAUUGUAUGGGUUUUCUCCGGCUCGAAGUUAUACUCGGCUCUGCCGAUAACUUCCGCCGCGAAAAGUUGACCUUCCAUAUCGUCCCGUUCUCAAGUCGCUAUCAAGCACUACUGGGACGCGAAGCUUUCGCCCGCUUUAACGCAAUACCGCAUUAUGCAUCUCUAACGCUUAAGAUGCCCGGUCCACGAGGCAUCAUCUCUUUGAAUGGGAAGCACUAAAGUGCGCCUCCCCAAGCGGAGGACUGUGCGGCCGCUUUGACAGCCCCACAGUAAAAUGGCCUCACCGGCCAAAAAACUUCGAAAUAGGUCAUUAAAGACCACGAACGCGGAUAGACGAGUUUGGGACAAAAUCAUCAUUGAUGCAGGCUUAGUGGCCAUAUACCCCCACUAGGGGCUCCAUGCAUAUACAAUAAGAGACAAUAAAGCUCAAUUUUAUAUAUUUUACUUUAUACUUUGUUUAUUUUAAACUUUUGUUCAGCAUGACCCGUUUUCAACUCAGUUCCUCUCUUUUACAGAUGAACGUCGUGCGGCGCCCGUCCAAGAUACGGCACAACGGAGACACAGGCGCAGACGUGCAGUAGGGACCCAUCCUAAAGGAUUCUUUUUAGAUUAAGACCCUGCGUAAACCUUUUUUACUGUCUCUUGUUGCUACACAUCCCCUGGUUCUUUCUGACAUAACCAAGGAGGCUGGCGUCUUGGCAUGUGGCCACGUCAGAAUUUUUGCAUGUACCUGGACACUAGGGGCUUUUUUAAUAAAGAGUGUUGUUUCGCCCGCACUCAUAAAGACCGAACACCUUAGGGAGUGUUCGGCGUCGCGAGUUUUGGCAUUAUAUGCAUCAGCUCCGAAUCAUGUCUUUGGUCAAAUGUUGGGUUGCCCGGCUCCUGAGUUCCGCUACCUUACGUUCCGCUCUAUCGGCUAAGGUAGCACCAGGAGAACUACUACGAUUGUGCCCCGGUUCGGCCGGGCGAGCACCUCAGUAGAGAAAGCCGAAAACUGACUGUCAUGAUGUAGCGUGAGACUGGUCAGUCACUCGAUGACCUAUCGGAAUCUAUUGGAUUCCUCCGCUUUAACGAAGGGCCGCUUUCCGGUCAGGCACAUACGCGCCCCGAACUCGGGCGAGCGCAGUCGCCACCAAGGGGCUACCUAAAUAGUCCCACUGUCAAGCUCCUAUGGCUAAGUGAAAGUAUUAAAGCAUUAUAGUCCGGUUGCCUGGCCCGCUGCGCUAUCACCUCCUUUGUAGGACCAAGACGUUGGGUUAAGUGUGAAAAUGCGUCUUCUGCGAGCACCCCCGCACUAUGUGCGUGGGGGCUGAAGCCAACGACUGCCAUCUUUCAGAUUUUGUAUAUAUAUAUCUUAAAACGGCCGCACAGGAGGUGUUCCCAAUACUUGAAGGCACAAGUAUAAAAAGGCCACUACUGUUUAUCAAAAUAUUACUUUAUAAUUACAUAUGCUAUCAUAACAUAGCAUCUUUCGAGCAUUGCGUCUCUAUUACACGGGCGCCUUCAAGGACUUCCUGAAAAUAGUGCUCGAAGGAUACUCGGCUUUUGUCCGAAUCUCGGGACGCAACAACGGUGGUCUCCAUCUCUGCCCAGUAUGUCUUGACACGGGCAAGAGCCAUCCUUGCGCCCUCUAUGCAUGCUGACCUCUUCAUUGCAUUAAUACGCGGCACCGCGUCAAGGAAUUGCUGCACCAAGCUGAAAUAACUCUUCGGCUCCGAUCUCCCCGGCCACAGAUGACCCAUGACGUACUUCAUGGCGAGUCCAGACAACCUAUUCAGUUCGGCCCAUUGAGCCAAACGAUCGUCCACUGCCAGUGGACGCUCUGGAUUGUGAAACUGCGACCAGAAAAGCUUUUCCACUUCGCGAUCUUUUUGAUCACGAAAGUGUUCGGUCGCAUCAGCAACACUCGCUGCCAGAUCCAGAUAGGUAUCCUCCACACUCCACAUCCGGUCCAACGGAGCAAACUUCGGAUUGCAAAAUUUCCUUCGCAGCAUAAAGGCCUUUCCAGCAGCAAUCUGUUCGGCCUGACGCAGCUCCUCCUUCGCAGCUCUCAUCACAGAGCGCGCGUCCUUGGCAUUGGCAACGGCCUUCUCUAAGUCUGUCUGUUUCGCCUGGUCUUCUUUCUCAAGAAGUCUGCAACGGUCUACAGCACUCUUUAACUUUUCGGCCAUCUCGGCCAUCUCUUCCUUGCUUCGGCAAUGAGCAGCCUAUUCGGCUCUCAGCUCUUCAAGGGCUUUCUUGGCAGCCGCAUCACUUUCUCUGGCUUGAUCUUUAGCUCGAGCAAGUUCUGCCCUAAGACUCUCCACGGCGACCGCACCAUCUGCGUCAAGCACACACAUCGUAAGACACUGGCAUAAAACUCUUCUUACCUAAUGCCGCCCGAGGAAUUACAUACCUUGAGCCUCAUCAAGCCGCUUGCUGACAAGCGCGAUGUCGGCAUCUGCCACGUCCAGUUGCCGCUUUAGUUCGGCAAAAUCAUCAGUUCGGCUCGAUUCCGGACACCCUGCCACCUACAUUCAAAGGUGACAUCUUAGACUUGGGAUUAUGAUCUUCCGCGUGCCGUCAUUUCUUGACGAAGCGCAGAGUCUCAGGGGCUACUAUCUACACAGGGUGCAUCUUAUUCAUGCGCAACUGACAAAAGUGUACAUUAUCUAAUGUACCUCAAAACCCGUCAGUAAACUUUUGACGGCCUCAUGCAAUCCACUCUCUACGGAUGAGAUCCUUUCAAUCAUCGUGCCCAUCAAUGCACGGUGCUCCUCCGAGAUAGAAGCUCGCCCCAGCAGAAUCUUUAGCUCCUCCGGCCGAGCACCAGACGGUUCUGGACUUGUCCCACGACCUCUUUCGAAGGCCGGACGCGGAGAACCUCGGGGGGGCACAUAGCUAUCUUCCGCCCCUGACGGAUUCGGAGAAACCCUCCGCGACGAUACCUCAGGAUCGCCCGCCUCGCUAGGCGGCACGGCAGGGGGAGGCGUCCCGCUCUCCAUCAUCUCCGUAAGGAGAUCCCCCGAAGACGAGCUCUGCUGAGAAGGGCUGAGGUCUGAGCUACAAGGUAAAAAUUCGGUUAAUCUUCUCAGAUAUAAAUCAAGGAUUUCCCUCAUCCCUCAAAAGGAAAAUCUUUCUCUACUUACGGCUCGCUGGAGGGCUGAUCCCCUUGAGGGCGUAGUCCGGCCGAGGAACUCCCCGGCGCCGGACCCUCUGACGAGGAUUUUCUCCCCCGCUUCGAGGCCAUGGUUUCCGGGUCGUCAGAGGCGGCUCUCUUCUUCCCCUUAGGAGAGGAAUUGUCGGUUCCUCCCUUCGGAGCAGCCUCCUUCGAGGAGGCCAUAGCUUCCUUGUCCUCCCCCUCCAAAGGCAUUAUCUCCAGCAUCCUGACUAGCACAGGAUCCGGCCUGGUUUCAGGAAGGGGAGCCGGACACCUGAUCAGCUUUGCCUUCGCUAUCCACUCCUGUUUAAAAGGACGGCUCUUUUAGGGGCAAGUUUAUGAAAAUUAUACGGAUAGAAGGUCCGGGCACAAGGUUGCUUACUUGAGUAUCCGGGCGAUUGCAGCUUAGGCCUGCGUCCUCGGUUAAAUCCAGACACAUCCCUUGUGAUCCGAAGAACAGUUUAUACAUCUCCGCGGGCGUUGCACCCAUGAAAUUUUGGAGAGCUCGCGGUCCCUCUGGGUUAAACUCCCACAGGCGAAGGGAGCGACGUUUGUCGGGCAAUAUUCGGCGAAUUAGCAUGACCUGCAUCACCUUGACCAGGCUGAGGUCUCCUUCCAAGAGAUCCUUAAUGCGGCCCUGUAACAAGGGCACGUCUUUGGGCAAACCCCAAUCUAACCCUCUGUUAAUCCAUGACGCUAGCCGUGGUGGGGGACCCGAGCGAAAGGCAGGAAGCGCCACCCACUUGGUGCUCCGGGGAGUGGUGAUAUAAAACCACUCUCUUUGCCACAAGCCUAGCUCCUCUUGAAAAGAGCCCUCGGGCCAUGGAGCAUCAGCAUUUUUGCUUAUAACAGCGCCUCCGCACUCUGCGUGCCGUCCCUUGAUCAUCUUCGGCUCCACUUCGAAAGUCUUGAGCCAUAAUUCGAAGUGAGGGGUAACACGGAGGAACGCUUCACAUACGACGAUAAACGAGGAGAUAUGGAGGAUGGACUCCGGAGCUAAGUCGUGAAAUUCCAGCCCGUAAUAAAACAGCAGUCCCCUCACAAAGGGAUCCAUUGGGAAGCCUAACCCCCGAAGGAAGUGAGACACGAACACUACGCUCUCACCGGGCUGGGGACUAGGGAUAGCCUGCCCUUGAGCAGGCAACCUAUGCGAAAUUUCGGCGGUCAAGAACUUAGCCUCUCUCAACUUUAGCACGUCCUCCUCCGUGACGGAGGAGGGCAUCCAUCGGCCUUGAAGGUCGGAACCGAACAUUGUCGAAGGUCUGAGGCGCCCGGAAUCUGGAGCCUAGGGUAUUGGAACUCGAGGCGACGGGCGAACUCGUUUUGGGAUUGGAGAAAAGGAGUAAGGCCCUGGUCUCUUUAUAAGAGGUUGAAUACCAAGAGCCCUCCCCGUAACUGUUUGGGACUCGCCUUUAAUCGAGAAAACAUGCUAACGGGCACAAUUGGGUUACCCACGUCCGUAUUGAUGAGAAUCCCGUAAAAGGGAGGCACACGAUCUCUGCUUUGACAAGACGUGCCAAGGAAACUGCCUCGCAAAAUACGCUGAGGUGGAAAGGUGAAAUCGAUUCGAGUAAAGGACUUGGCUGUAGUGUGAUGACGCACUGCGGAAUACGUCAGCAGAUUUGAUUUUUGUUAAUAUUAUUCUCUCUAUGGCAAUAUGUGAAAGCUUAUUUUGCAGAGCCGGACGCUACUCUUGGUGUUUACAAUCUUCUAUGAAGGACUUGGAGGAGGAACCCGCCUUGCAAUGCCAAAGACAAUUUGCGCGCCGGACUCGUCGUCAUUGAAGCCUGGUUCAGGGGCUACUGAGGGAGUCCUGGAUUGGGGGUGUUCGGGUAGCCGGACUAUACCUUCAGCCGGACUCCUGGACUAUGAAGAUACAAGAUUGAAGACUUCGUCCCGUGUCCGGAUGGGACUUUCCUUGGCGUGGAAGGCAAGCUUGGCGAUGCGGAUAUUCAAGAUCUCCUUCCAUUGUAACCGACUCUAUGUAACCCUAACCCUAUCCGAUGUCUAUAUAAACCAGAGGGUUGUAGUCCGUAGGCAAUCAACUCCAUAUACAACAAUCAUACCAUAGGCUAGCUUCUAGGGUUUAGCCUCCUUGAUCUCGUGGUAGAUCUACUCUUGUACUACCCAUAUCAUCAAUAUUAAUCAAGCAGGACGUAGGGUUUACCUCCAUCAAGAGGGCCCGAACCUGGGUAAAACAUCGUGUUCCCUGCCUCUUGUUACCAUCCGGCCUAGACGCACAGUUCGGGACCCCCUACCCGAGAUCCGCCGGUUUUGACACCGACAGUGCCCUUCACCACCGGCCACUCCACCGGAACCGGAGGUCAUCGAUGAGCCGCUCGCCUACCCGAACCUCCCAACGCGUACUCCCGCCGACGAAGACGAGGAGCACUUCGCCCCUCCAGGCUAUGGCCCUGUGCCCACCAUGAUGGAGUGGGAGGUGACACCGAACGAAGAGGAGGAGCAGUGGCUCAACUCCGUUGUGAAGCCGGAGCCAACCACGUCGGCGGAGACCGACGAACCCGGAGCCACAUCCCCGACCUCAACACUGCCACUGGCGGGAAGAUCGAGGAAGCGGCGUCGUCUUCCAAGGCCCCAGCAUCUCCACCGCCUCCGCCCCCGGCAAGCCCGCGAACACCCCCACCGACGGCUCACCGGAUCCUUCGCCGUUUCACGGCGGCGCUGGAGCAGCACCGCCCCGGCCUCCGCUCCGGCUCCUGGGCCCCUGCAGGCCUCCACCUCCCCGGCUACGCUGCGGGGGGGGCACCCUCCUCCUAAAGAUCGCCGGCGCUAGGCGCCAUCGGCGGCGGCCGGCGGGAUCCCGUGAAGGUGGUGGUGGAAUGGGGGGAAUUGACCCCAACCGCCCCACCUCUCGUCCCCCUUAUCCGCUUGAUGUCUCCAUCAGCGGCGCCGCCAUGGGCCUGGGCUGAAAGGCCUCGUGGGCUGUGGCCCAUGUUGCAACGACCAGAAAAAAAACCAAUGGGUUAUAGGCUAGAUUGCAGAAAAAUCCUUAUAUUAUCAGGGAUUUCAUGCAUUAGUCCAACUACUAGUACUAAUUUAGUGCUUGUCAUGUUUUAGCCCCGUAAAUUUGGGAAUUCGCAGAUAGGUUCAACUACUAGUGCUAUAAUUAAGUACUUGUCAUGUUUUAGACCUUGUAUCUCGAUGUGAUUAUAUAUUGUACUCAAUUAAAUUGUGUAUUGAUGUUUAGACCAUAUUAUUUCUAUAAAUCAUUAUAUGUUCAAUGUGUUUGCAAUUUGCAAUCCCUAUAACAUGUACAAAUGGUACAAUAAUAUUAUUUUGCAAUUAAAAAUCAUUUAUUCUUGCAACUCAAAUAUUAAUUCGCCAUCAAUUAAGUCCAAAAAUGCCUAUGUAGCACAAAAAUAGACUUAAUUCGAAUAGAAUUUAUACAAAGUUCAAGUCUUUACUUGAAUUCACAACAAUUGCAAAAUUUAUUACAACAUGACCAUGAUGAUUUUAAUUUACAUACAAGUAAAUUGAUCGAUUAUCUGGUUCUCAAUCUUGUAGGACAAAAUGACCGUCAAAGAAUUUGAAGAGCUUGCGCUCGACGGACACAACUAUCCUACAUGGGCUAUGGAUGUUAAAAUCAGUCUUUCAUCCCAUGGAAUUGCAGCUGCACACAUACCUCCUGCAGACCCUCCCCAAGAGGGAAUUGCACAAUUAAACAAACAACAACAAUAUGCUGCUUUAUACAUAAUAAGGCACCAUAUCCAUCCAGAUCUGAAAUCUAAAUAUUUGAUGGAGGAAUCUCCAAGCAAUAUGUGGCAAUCACUUAAAACUAGAUAUGAACAGCAAAAGGCAGUUAUACUUCCCGAAGCUAGUCAUGAGUGGACCCAUUUAAGACUCCAAGAUUUCAAAUCGAUCGGAGCUUAUAAUCAUGAGGUUCAUAAAAUUUGCUCAAAGUUGCGGUUUUGCGAGAAGGAGCCUACAGAAGCAGAUAAGAUAGAAAAGACUCUAUCCACUAUGCUCCCAGCUGACAGGAUCCUACAGCAACAAUAUCGUGCCCGCAAUUAUACAGUUUACUCUGAACUUAUACAUGUGCUCCUCCAGGCUGAGAAACACGAUGAACUUCUGCUAAAGAAUAGUAAUCAACGCCCAGUUGGGGCCGCUCCUCUGCCUGAAGUACAUGCAAAUUUUCAGAAAAAUACCAAGUUCAAUGGUUCUUUCAAAGGUCAAAACAAGAACUUCAAGGGUAAGAGCAACCACAACAAGAAGAACAAGCCACAAAAUUCAGACAAGGGGAAGGGCAUAACAAAGAAUAAGUUUGAUAAAACUAAACUUUGCCAGAAAUGUGGAUGCUACAAGCAUGUCACCAAAAAAUGCCGCACCCCAAGACAUCUGGUAAACCUCUACCUGCAAUCCAUGGGACGUAACAGACCUGCCCAAGGAGCAAGAUAUGAAGCUCACUUCAAUCUUCAACCUGAUAACAAGAAGGAAGCUGGUUGUUCGCAAGAUGUUCGAGGAGCACCAAGUAACAACAAGGAAUUCCAUAUAUCACGGGACUCCAUGGACACGGAGAAUAUGAUGACCGAAUACACCGCCGACAUGUUCGGGGACUUUGACUAGUCAAUUGAGCAACAAAAAUACAAGCUCCAGUAAAUGAUUUUUGUUUUACACAAUGCCUCAGGUUUGUCGAUUGUUGUCUUUUCUCGAGAGGUUCUCCCUUUAACAGGGGCUCGAGCAUCCAUUUUGCAGACAAAAACAUCAUUGGCAAGAAGGAGAGCCUUGGCGCAGUGGUAAAGCUGCUGCCUUGUGAUGCAACACAGUUCACAAAAGAUGCAGAAAAAAAUGUAUCAACAAAUAGAACAAGGCGGAAUCUGUUAAAAGACACAGGAAGGAUUGGGAAGAACCAUCAGCAGCAAAUCCUUUCAACUCAACAUAAUACAGUCCGCAUCUUGGUAGGAUCGCUCACAGGCAACCCAGCUGGAAACAUUUUCUCAAAAAACACUUGAUGUCGAUGGCAAAAUUUGCAGACAAACAAAUUUGAAAAUACAAGUAUUUAUCCUUGAGGCGGCUCAGAUGUCAAAUGGGUUGUAAGUUUCUUUAUCAGCACAAAGAGAUAAAAAUCUCUUCAGAGUGGUGCAUGACUUUUCUCAUCAUAGCCUUUUGCUUCCACAGAGCAUCCAUUUGCAGACAGAAUCAUCAUCGGAAAACCAACUAAUUCAGAUGAAAUGCAACAAGGUUCACGAAACCAGAUACUGAGCUGCAGAGGGGGAAAACACAGGUAUCAGAUGAGGGCACUCCAUAUGUUUAGACUGACCCAUUCAAAAUAGGAAGGAGAAAUCCGUUCAGGAUAGGGGGGUUGGAAAUAAGAAGAAGUUAGGAAGGGGGAUCGGAAAGAGGACCCAUCAGCGGCAAAUGUAUCUGACCUUAAUGUAAUUUCAGUAAGCAUCAUCUUAGGACCGCUCAUAGGCUACCCUCGUCAUUUGCUUCUGUACAUUAUCCCUAAAAUCCAGUUAACCUUCAAGACUUCUAUUUUCAAACUACAGAAUUUACCUGAAGGCAAAAGCUGGAAACAAUUCCUAAAAACAAAUAGACGUCUACGUCGAAAAUAUAGGAUAAAAAAUCAGAAAAUACAAAAUAUGUAUCCAUGAGGUGGCUCAGAUUUACAAUGGGUUGUAAAGUUUGUUUAUCAGCACAGAGAUAAAUCUCUUCAAAGUGGUUCAUGACUUUUCUCAUCAUAGCCUUUUUGCUUCCACAGAGCAUCCAUUUUGCAGACAGAAUGAUAAACCCAGAACAAGUAAUUCAGAUGUAAUGAAACGAGGUUCAGGAAGCCACCAAUAGGAAAAAAAUACCAUUCAAGAUUACGGAGUAAUGAAAAUAUAACCAUCAUUUAACCUCAAUGUAAUUUCAGUCCGCAUCAUGGUAGGAUAAAUGUUGGGCAACCCUCGUCAUCUGGUUCUGUACAUUACUCCCCCGAUCUAGUUAAUCUUAAGACUCUUGUUCAAAACUAAAGUAUUUUCCCAAUGGCUAAAUCUGGAAACAGUUUCUGAAGACAUCUAUGCCGAGACGAUAAACAAAAAAUACGAAAAUAGGUCUCCAUGAGGUGGCUCAGAUGUAAAAUGGGUUGUAAGUUUGCUUUAUCAGCACAAAGAGAAAAAUUUCUUCAGAGUGGUGCAUGACUUUUCUCAUCAUAGCCUUUUGCUUCACCAGGGAGAACAAUGUCAUGGAAUACAGCAGAUUUGUCGAUUGACAUUAUAAUACUAGGAAGCGCAAUAUGGAAUGCCUCAGAUUUGUCAUUUGAUGUCAUUUUACAUCUGCUUCCUCAAGCGGUUCUCCCUGAAAAAGGGGCUUGAGUCCACAGAGCAUCUGUUUUCCAGACAGAAUCAUCAUCGGAAAACCACAGGUAAUUCAAAUUUAAGAUGGCAUGCAACAAAGGCAGUUGCUAAGUAAAUAAAUCAAGCACCUGAAUUCAACCAUACUACUAAAAUCACUGGGCAAUAAGCAGCACAAUAUUAUACAAAGUCUCUGCUUCAUUCUCCCUGAAACAGGGGGCUUGAACUUGCAGCCAAAAUAAGCAUGCCAAAAAUUAAAUUUUCAGAACUCAACUCUACACUAUAAUCAAAAGGCAAUGAGCAGAAAUGUUUUGAGAUAAGCACAAAGUCAAGACAAUGGAAGCAUAGCCAAAAACAGUUAAACCAAUGUGGCAUCUCAAGUUGCCAAAACUGAGAUGCACCUGAAGCACAAGGCCAGAACUAACGAAUCACUAUGCGCCUCUGACUGGGCAACUUUGAGAAAGGUCGACCUCAAGAAGCCAAAGGUGAGAGAGGCACACACAAAAUCAAAUGGCAGGAAACAAGCUCAUCAUCACAAAGCAGUAUUCACCCCAGCAUGAUAGCAGAGUGAAAUUGCAAACGGGAAAGCAGGUAAUCAUAUCCAUCUAUUAAGAGCAUUCAACACAGGCAGACAAAACCACAAAUGGGAUAAGAGCACAAUAAUGGAAUCGAAAUAGAGUAUUUAAACGACACAUCAUAGCUCGCACACAGGUGCAGGAGUCGGAAGUGCAACAACGCCCAGGAACACCACUUAACAUACACUAAGAUUCUCCAAAAAAGACUUGACACUAAAACUUCUGCUAGAUAACUCGAUGGCAGACACCAGAGCACUCAUUUCUUCUUGAUGGCAGCCUUGGUAACCUUGGCGCCGGUGGGGUCCUUCUUCUCAACGCCCUUGAUGACACCAACAGCAACCGUUUGUCUCAUGUCACGCACAGCGAAGCGGCCAAGAGGUGGGUAGGUGGCGAAGGUCUCCACAACCAUGGGCUUGGUGGGAAUCAUCUUCACAAUACCAGCGUCACCGUUCUUCAGGAACUUGGGCGCAGCCUCAAUCUCCUUACCAGAUCGCCUGUCAAUCUUGGUCACCAGCUCAGCAAACUUGACAGCAAUGUGGGAGGUGUGGCAGUCCAGCACUGGGGCGUAGCCGUUGCCGAUCUGACCAGGGUGGUUCAUGAUGAUGACCUGAGAGGUGAAGUUGGCUGCCUCCUUGGCAGGGUCAUCCUUAGAGUUGGAUGCAACAAACCCACGCUUCAGAUCCUUGACAGCAACGUUCUUCACGUUGAAGCCGACAUUGUCACCAGGAAGCGCCUCCAGGAGGGACUCGUGGUGCAUCUCAACGGACUUGACCUCAGUUGUCAGACCAGUGGGGCCAAAGGUAACAACCAUACCAGGCUUGAUGACACCAGUCUCAACGCGUCCAACAGGCACAGUUCCAAUGCCACCAAUCUUGUAAACAUCCUGAAGGGGAAGACGCAGGGGCUUGUCUGAGGGCCUCUUGGGCUCAUUGAUCUGGUCAAG
rnacentral:lncRNA from 1 species